GAUGAAGAACGUAGUGAAAUGCGAUAAGUAAUGUGAAUUGCAGAAUUCAGUGAAUCAUCGAAUCUUUGAACGCACAUUGCGCCCCUUGGUAUUCCGAGGGGCAUGCCUGUUCGAGCGUCAUUAUAACCCCUCAAGCUCAGCUUGGUGUUGGGGCCUGCUGCACUGGCAGCCCUUAAAAUCAGUGGCGGCGCCAUCUGGCUCUAAGCGUAGUAAUUCUUCUCGCUAUGGAGUCCUGGUGGAUGCUUGCCAUCAACCCCCAAUUUUUCUAUGGUUGACCCCGGAUCAGGUAGGGAUACCCGCUGAACUUAAGCAUAUCAAUAAGCGGAGGA
rnacentral:misc_RNA from 1 species